AAUUAACUUUUUCCAGUUAUGGUUAAUAGUAUAUAUCUUUCAAAAGCUUUACUCUGAUGUGUGACAUCAUUGAUGUUCAUCAAAAAUCAUUCUUAAGUAGAUUCCUUUAUUUUGCCAUUGAAUACGUUUAUGCCCCUGAAAUUCAAAUGGACGCAGUAAUUAUAGUAUUGAUUCACUGUACAAAGGGACAUUUUGUUGUGUGAUUCCGAUCCCUCUGAUAAUUGCAACAUGUGACUUUAAACUCAGUACAUUGUAAUGUCCAAAUGGGUCCUUCAGGUCAGUGUUAACUUAAUCAUCAAAGUAUGAAACUAUAAUUCUUACUAAUUGUGACCACAUUUGAGUUUGUUAGAUGGGUUGGCUCUGUGUUUUUGUUAUUUGUUCGUUUGUGUGUAUUUUUUUUCUGUUAGUUUUUGUUAUUUGUUCGUUUGUUUAUUUAAGUUGUUUUUUUUACUUGUUCACUGUCUUUUAAAUGAAAAGAGACAAUCUAAGUGUGGACAAGUACUGUAUAAAUCGCCACUUGUAGGUUAUUUUUUCCGCACUUCUGACAUUUUUGUCCCUAUCUUCAGCUUUUUACCAUGUCAAUAAUGUCACUCCAGCGGCGAAUGUUUUUUAACGUUGCUAAGUAUGUAAUAAAUCCAGAGGUGCUCAAAUAAAAGUGAACGAG
rnacentral:misc_RNA from 1 species